rnacentral:rRNA from 1 species
UACGAAGGGGGCUAGCGUUGUUCGGAAUUACUGGGCGUAAAGCGCACGUAGGCGGAUUGUUAAGUCAGAGGUGAAAUCCCGGAGCUCAACUUCGGAACUGCCUUUGAUACUGGCAAUCUAGAGUCCGGAAGAGGUUAGUGGAAUUCCCCAGUGUAGAGGUGAAAAUUCGUAGAUAUUGGGAAGAACACCAGUGGCGAAGGCGGCUAAACUGGGUCCCGGGUACUGACGC